CAGUCGCCGCGGUAAUACAGAGGGUGCGAGCGUUAAUCGGAUUUACUGGGCGUAAAGCGUGCGUAGGCGGCUUCUUAAGUCGGAUGUGAAAUCCCUGAGCUUAACUUAGGAAUUGCAUUCGAUACUGGGAAGCUAGAGUAUGGGAGAGGAUGGUAGAAUUCCAGGUGUAGCGGUGAAAUGCGUAGAGAUCUGGAGGAAUACCGAUGGCGAAGGCAGCCAUCUGGCCUAAUACUGACGCUGAGGUACGAAAGCAUGGGGAGCAAACAGGAUUAGAUACCCGUAGUCCCUGUCUCUUAUACUU
rnacentral:rRNA from 1 species